rnacentral:rRNA from 1 species
UACCAGCUCUCCGAGUGGUAGGGAUGAUUAUUGGGCUUAAAGCGUCCGUAGCCGGCUUAGCAAGUUUCCUGUUAAAUUCAGCGACCUAAUCGUUGAGCCGCGGGGAAUACUACUAGGCUAGGAGGCGGGAGAGGUCGACGGUACUUCUGGGGUAGGGGUGAAAUCCUAUAAUCCCGGGAGGACCACCAGUGGCGAAGGCUGUCGACUAGAACGCGCUCGACGGUGAGGGACGAAAGCUGGGGGAGCGAACCGGAUUAGAUACCCGGGUAGUCCCAGCUGUAAACGAUGCGGGCUAGGUGUUGGGGUGGCUACGUGCCACUUCAGUGCCGCAGGGAAGCCAUUAAGCCCGCCGCCUGGGGAGUACGGCCGCAAGGCUGAAACUUAAAGGAAUUGGCGGGGGAGCACCACAAGGCGUGAAGCUUGCGGUUCA